UUGAAACACCGGUUCCCAUAUGAUCACCGAAGUUAAGCAAUGUCAAGUUUGAAUAGUACUUAGAUGGGGGACUACUUGGGAAUACCAGGUGCUGUAAG